rnacentral:lncRNA from 1 species
AGAGCCGAGUGAGGUUCCGUUCCAUCGAGGUUCCGGUCCGCAGUCCCAUUAUUACAUCAAAAAUCAAAAUUGAAAAGACUAACUAAGCCUAUCAGCUAUGAGUUACAAAAUUCCUAUCUAUGAGUCUUCUGAAGCUUGAUCUUGAGUCUUGACAGGUUUUUCCUGCAGACUUUGAUCUGAAUCUUGAUGCUCGUUAGCUGCGAACGCUGGUUCAUUUUUCUUCAGUUCGGAUCAAGGCGGGACAUGCAAAGCUUGUGACUUCAAUCAUAUCUUGAGCAGUCCGCAUCUUUUCUCCGCUUCUGCACUUAGAGUUCACAUUUUUUCUUGUUCUUCUUUUCUUUUAUUCUGGAUUGAGACUUCUUCUUUUGGUCGUCUCGAAUCCUGUGUCUCGAGGUAUAACCUACUCAAACAGCAAAACAAACAAACAAACAAAAUUUUUCUGCCUCAGUUUUUACUAGGAAGAUUUCGUGAGUUAUUGUAACAAAAUCUAAACUAUUUCUUUCUUGAAAACAAUAAAUCGGGAUUGUGUAUCCGUGAGAAAUAGAGAUUAAAGAGUGGAGACCCUAUAUCUAAAAUGAAAUCAAAUGAGGAUCGGAGGCUCCAAGUUGGGAAGAUUACCAGGUUAUGUUGGAAAAAUGACCGUGUUAUGCCGGAAAAGGUUCUCGGGUUAUGCUGGAGAGGUCAUCGGGUUAUGCCGGAAAAAGGUCCUCGGGUUAUACCGGGGAGGUCCACAGGUUAUGCUGGAAAAGUCAUCGGGUUAUGCUGGAAAAAGGUCCUCGAGUUAUGCCGAGAAAGUCAUCGGGUUAUGCCGGAAAAAGGUCCUCGAGUUAUGCCGGAAAAGGUUUUCGGGUUAUGCCAGAAAAAGUCCCCGGAUUAUGCCGGGGAUCAACUAGGGAGUGUAACCCUAUACUGGAAAAGACUACCAGGUUAUGCUGGCAGUGACUAGGGAAUGGGACCAUAUAUUGGAAAAACGUAGCAAGAGAUCGGGGACCCCAGACUACCAUGAUUUUGAAUUUUCUUCUUCUUUCUUUUCAUUUCAAUUUUUUUUUAAGAAAAUGAGUAAAAAUACAGGAAAGAAUUUGGAGGAGACUUCCCUUUUGGAUUGAUUAUUGCUGCAAAGCUUAGCCCUUGCGCAGUUUCUUUUGGUUGCACCUGCUUCUUGCAAGGUUGCUUUGGAUUGCACUUGUUUCCUGUUUUACAAACAAAGAACAAUUGUUAGUUUGAAACGGUGGUUGGUUUUGUGGCCUUGAGCGUUUCAGUCACUUGAUCUCGGCCCGACUUCUUUGAUAAAGAUUUCAACUGCAACUGCUUGUUCCUUGAGGACCGAUUUCAUUUCUGACCCUGGAGAACCUCUAGCUUUUCCAGACUUUGCCAUGACGGUUGGUCAUGUGGAACUCAACCUUCUCGACUUUAUUUUGCCUUUGUAGGCCUUUCACUUCUGACUGCUUGUUUUUCUUCUUCUUCUUUUUUUCUUUUUUCUUUUCAAUUCUUAACUUCGGAGCAUUGGGAAAUAUUUUGGCUCCUUAAACUUGCUGCAACGGCUAGUCGUGUGGGACUUAACAUUUUCCAACUUUAUUUCGCCUUCGUAGGCCUUUUAUUUCUUGCUUCUUUCUUCCAACUUUAGCUUCAGAGCAUUUGGGACCCCUUGACUUUUCAAAUCUUUGCCGAGACGGUUAGCCACAUGGGACUUAACCUUUUCAACUUUAUUUUUGCCUUUGUGGGCAUUUGAAUUUGAUUUCCUUUCUUUUUAGGAGUUUUUUUAUUUCAAAGCAUCAGCCAUCAUUGCCAGUCGAAGUUGACUCGAUGCACCUGCUGAGGCUGGGUAUCUUCUUGAAUAUUGGCUCGUAUCAAACAAAAGCCCAGUAAAUCAAUCUUGCCAUCCUUUCUUUGCCUCAGUUUUGGAACAAAGUUAGACGGAAAGAGAUUCAAAAAAAAACAAACAAUGUAAUGGAGAAUGAAUUUAAAACAAGAAGUGUCCCUUUCGGGGAAAGGAAAGAAGGACUUAUCUGGAGUACAUGCAGACUUCAAUGAACAUGACAUGCCUUUUGGACUGGAUGCUUGAUCUGUGUAAACUGUCUGACUCUCAAAAAUUCAUCACAACUUUUGCCUCAAAAAUAGAGAAACCUUGCCAGGACUCUGUCGAUGCCGAUGGCUGUGAGGAUGCUCUUUUCGAUCAGAGGCGCUCUUUGCCGGUUUUCACGAGUUGACCUCUCUCAUUUCUCUUCUCACCAUCUCCUUAUAGUGCUCUUUGUGAGUUUUCACUAACAAGAUUCUCUCAUUUUUAAUUUCUCUGCUUACCAUCGCCUUAUAGUGCCCGUGUGGGUUUUCACCAAUAAGUCUCUCUCAUUUUGUUACAUUGGAUCCAAGUAGUUGCAUUCUCCAAUCCUUGGACAUUCUCACCGAUUGAUAGGAAGGACUUGAAAGGAUUCGGUAAAAAUAAUUUGGACAGAAUUACAACUUUGGAACCAUUUAGGCGGGAUCAUCGCUGAACCAUUAUAACAUCUGCCCCAGUUUCACUUUUGGGGGAAUUCAGAUUUAUAUUUUGGUGUGACUGAACCCCAAAGAGAGGCUGCAUACGUAUCCUUUCGGAAUCAAGUCGAAUGUAGUUCAUGGAACUUUGUUUUUGAUUUUCUUUUGUUUUCCUAUUUUGUUUUGUUUUCCCUUUCUUUUUCCUCUUUUUCCGUUUUUUAUUUCAUUUUCUUGUCUUUUCUUCCCUUUUUUUGUAUUUUUCUUUUUCUUCUCUUUUCAUUUUUUUUUUCAUUUUUCAUUCAUCAUUUUUUCAAUAAUAACUUCCAAGUUCCAAAGAGGGUAAUCAAAUAAUUGAAGCCGGCUCAAAGGGUUUGCAAUUGGUUGAAUAUUUAGAUAGUGAGAAAGAAAGUCUUCUUCAUCCCAAUCGGAGAACAUUAAUGCUAUAUAGAUGGUCCAACAUAGUACCUUUUGACUGCAUUUGGAUUGACAAUUGUUUCAGGGAUAUUUCCUUCGAUGUGUCCCAAGUACAAUACACUUUUUUGGCAGUACUCUUAUUGCAAUGUGUGGACCUUUCCAAUCUUGGAACCAAUUUUCCUUCAGCUGUUCCAACUCUUUGUUUUAUUUUCUCAAACUUAUCUUCUUUGCAUUUUGACUCUUGAUUAAUUAUUUCGAAGUCUGACAGUGUUUUAGGAUCUGGGCAUGAAGUCCGCAAGCAUGCCAUGUUAUUGAAAUCUGCAUUUAACAGAACUAAAAAGAGAAUAAGAAAAGUGAAAUUAAGAAAAGAGACAUUCCUGGACAAUGAAAUAUUAAUUUCAUUUGAUUUUUGAUUUUUUUCCAAUUUUUGAAGAUAGAAGGGUUUACAUCGGAAAGUAAGACAAUAAAGUAAAACAUCCGGAUCACACCCUAAGAUAAUCCGGACGCAAAAAGGAUAGCAAGACUGGCUACCGAGACUCCCGUCUGAUGGAGAACUUUUAGGCUUGGCGACCGUUUUUGGCUUUUCUUCUAUCUCGGCAAUGGCUGCAAUGGCCUUCAAUGCCGGAUCAAAUUUCUCAUCUUCAAAAAUCAUUCCGACUAUUGGCCCCCUGUUGUGGGAAGGCAACAAAUUGUUCAUCACAUCAAGAGUUUCUUCAUCCUGAAAAACAAUUCUUUCGGCUUCAAUCAAAUCUUCAACUGCCUUUUGAGGGUCCAACAGUCCUCUGUACUAUAUCUACUUCCCCAGAGUGGUAUUCACAUCUAGCAUCACCUCAGUGCGAGCGGGACCCGAGGUUCGGCNNNNNNNNNNNNNNNNNNNNNNNNNGACUUUCUUGGGCGAGGAUUGUACUGGGGAACAUUUGGUUGGAGAUUUAGAUGUGCAUUUAUGGGAGGUGGAGCUCGGUUUUGUGUAUGAUGUUGUGGACGUAUGUAAGGUUGCGCGUUUAUCCCCGCAUAAGGAGGUGGUGCCACGACAUAAGCAACAUCUUGAAGGGGAUAAUAAUGUUGAGGGACCUCAGGAAGCAUAUAUGAUUGGCUGAAUGACAUGCGGGCCCCCUCGAGCUGGAAGCCAUCAUGGCUCCUUCUUCUCUCUCGUUUCCAUUUAUCAAACCCUCUGAACUAUUUUGAACAUCUAGUGAUAUGGCUUUAAAAUUAGCAUGACUCAAGAUUCGACCCGUUUUUAGCCCACUUUCUACCAUCUCCCCAAUUUUGAUAGCCUCAGCAAACGGCUUUCCAUAGCAUAUAUCAUGUUCUGAAAGUAGUCCGCCUAUUGGGCAUGUAGAAAGACCGUGACCAUUUCAAUUUCGUCCAUUGGAUGCUUUACCAUGGCAGCUUGCUCACUCCAUUUGACAGCAUAUUCACGGAAGCUUUUCGCAGUUUUCUUUUUCAAAUUAGACAAAGAGUUUCUGUCGGGAGCGAUGUCCACAUUAUAUUGGAACUGGCGGAUAAAAUCUCGAGCCAUAUCAUCCCACACAUUAAAAUGGAUAAUUUCUUGAUCCGUAUACCACUCAGAAGCGAUCCCGGUGAGGCUUUCCCCAAAAUAGGCCGUUAGUAGCUCGUCUUUUCCACUAGCGCCUCUCAAUUGGUUACAAUAUUGUUUCAGGUGAGCGACCGGGUCUCCAUACCCGUCGUACUUUUCAAAUUUUGGCAUCUUGAAACCAGCUGACAAGUGAACAUGGGGAAACAUACAGAGGUCAGAGUAUGAAACACUCUUUUGGCCACUCAGACCUUGCAUGUUUUUCAGGCUUUAUUCCAGGCUCUUCAUCUUCCGAGCCAUUUCCUCUUGCUCAGGAUUUUUAACAACCUUUUCUUGUUCCACCGAGAGAUCAUAUUGCGGAGGUUGAGUGAAAGAGUACGGGGUCACAUAUAUUAUUUUUGGUUGAAGUUGUGGACCCUGAAAGAUGAACAUUGGAGGCAGUGUUCUUGAAGCCGGUGCCUGGGGGCGAACCACAGAAGGCAUGCCAGGAACAUUGGACAACAUUGGAGGGUGCCCGCAUGGGAUGAGCGGAUUGGGCAUAGGGGCGUUGGUAACCUCACAUGAACUGGGGAUCAACUCAGGGAACCUGGGGAUUGCACUUGGCGGUUCCCUACCAUCAGACCAGGCGUCCCACAUUUCUAAUAUGUGGAGACACAACAUCCUAUUCUCUUCAGUAGUUGCUGAUUCUAGCUGCAGAAUAGCCGAUACCGGGCUAUCCUCACGACCGAUGAUUGGUAGAUUGCUUGCAGAGGCCAUCUGUGCCUUUGGAUCUGGUGAAGGAAGGGAGGCUAGACUACCAACAAAACCAACCACCAAAACCUGGCUAGUUAUGCACACCCAACAACCUUGUUAAUUUUGAGACGCUUAACAGAUAGGAAAUCACACGUUUGGAUGCAAUGCACCUAAACAGUUAAACGUUUCUACCAUGUAUUUGAACGGUUGCAUGUUUCAUCUCGGCCUUAACUAACCCUUUCAAUAUGUACCUCUUUUCUUUUAUUUCUGCCUCUCUUUAAUCACUUUUUUUCAUUUCAUUUCUGCCGCUCUUUUAUUUUUGGCACUCUUUUUUUGUCACUCUUUUUUUUGUCACUCUUUUUUUUUUCACUCAAUUUUUCUUCCUCUUAUUUUUUUUAGUUUAUUUUCCACUCAGUUAAUUUUAUGGCUAUGAUCGAAUUCGAUGGGAAUUGCCUACGUAUCAUGACGGCGCAUGAAUCAGAUCUUGCGUAGUUAAGGAAGAUCGAGAAUGGAGUAAAUAAGCUAACUCUUUUUUUUACUUUUUAUAAAACUCAGACCAUGAAAGCUUUGAGGUAAAAGAAAAAUAUUUUUUUAAUUGUUUUUUUUUGAAUUUUCGAAAGAAAUGCUUUAAAAGAAGAAAGGAAAUAUUUUUUUUGGAUUUUUGAUUUUGACUCCUUUAUUUCUUUUUGAAAGAAAGAAUUCUGAAAAUUCCUUUUCUUUUGAAUUUGAACUUUGGGAAUUUCAAAAGUAAAAGGAAAAUAUUUUCGUUUGAAUUUUUAUUUAUUUUCUCUUAUUCUAAAGAAGAAAGAAAAUAUUUUUUUGGAUUUUGGGUGAUGCCUCUUACUUUUCGAAAGAAGGACUUUCAAGAAAAUAUUUUGGAUUUCUGAGUUUUUUUUUGUUUUUUAAAGUUACAAAAGUACUUAUAAAGAAAAAUUUAAAUAUUUUUGGACUUCAAUUUUUUUUUUAAAUUUUUUUUUGAAAGAAAGACUUUUAAACAAGGAAAAGAGUUUUUUUUUUAAUUCUUUUUUUUUUCUGAUUUUUUGUUGAAUUUAUGGGAAAAGACUUCUUAAAAAGGUAGAAAAAAUAUUUUCUUUUAGAUUUUGAUUUGACUUGUAGAUUUUCGAAAGUAAGACCUUUAAGAAAAUAUUUCGGAUUUCUGAGUUUCUCUUUUUUUUUUUAAAAUUUACGAAAGUACUUUUAAAGAAAAGUGAAAAUAUUUUUUGGACUUUUAUUUCUCAAUUUUUAUGGAUAUUUACAAAAGAAAAACUUCUAAAGAAUAAAAGAAUAUUUUUUGGAUUUUUGUUUCUGAUUGAAUUUUGGAUUUUUUGGGAAAAAUACUUCAAAAUGAAGGAAGCCCGUAUUUUGGAUUUUUUUUGAUUUUGUUUUUUGAUUUUAUUUUUCCGUAUGAUAGACUUCAGAAAGAAAGAAACCACUUUUUUGAGUUAAAAAAGAACUUUUUUUUUGAAUUUUCUAAGGAAAGAUUUCUAAAGAAGGAACUAAAGGAAAAUAUUUUUGGAUUUUUGAAAAUUGGGGCCAAAACCAAUUAGGUUUGCCUACGUAUCUCACAUCCGGUGUGAAUCAGACCCGCAUAGUUAGGUCAGUUUUAACGGAAUAGGGGAAACAUGGCACUUGAAAAUUUUGGCUCAUUUUGAAAUGACUUUUCUUUUCUUUUAUUUUUUCCGAAUUUCGGCAGAGUUUCAAGAUUUUUUCAAAUACUUGGGGUUUUCAGAACUUGGUGAAUUUUCUCUUUCCUAGCUCACUCUGGUUUUUCUCUUGAUUUUCUUUUCUUAGCCGGUCAACAUGCAAGCCGAAACAAACAGAUGCGCAAGGAGCACGUAAGAUGCAUCAGGAUGGUCUUUUUUUAAUUUGGGUACACCUGUCCUAGACGAACCCAACCCCUGUGUUGAGUCCCCAAAGUCAGAUGUACGUGAUGCAAACAAACGUACCUACUAGGGAUCCAGCAUGAUGCUAUGUUAUUCUAGGUUAAAAAACUUGGGGUUGUGUUCUUGACCUGGCUUACCCGAGCGGACAACUCGAGCUAAAGAGGGGGCAACGUACCGGGAGCACGAAAGUCUACCCGGCCUUGUUGCUGGCCCAGCCUCGUUCUAUUUGGUAUGACUUCUAACAGAAAAAGUGGGCCACACAAAUGUGUGCACCGUGUGAACCUGGGGUUGUGUUUUUAAGGAGACAGUUUAAUACAGUUCAAGUAAUAUGAAGCGGUAAAUAAACAACAAUUAACACAUUAGAUACACAAAAUACAAUAGUAUCAACAAUAAAUAAAACCAAAUAAAAAUCACAUUAACAAGCUCGAAUUCUUAAACCCUGAACCAGAAGUUCUGGGUUCUUAACCUCAGCAGAAUCGCCAGAGCUGUCACACCUCCUCUUUUCCACCCGAGGGGGAUACAUAAGAGAGUUUUUCCAAUUAAAGUGACAUUAUUCGAAAUAAGAUUAUUUUAUUUAUUUUUUAGAGUCGCCACUUGGAAUAGUUUAUGGUGUCCCAAGUCACCGGUUUAUUUUUCUAAUCCCAAAUCGAGGAAAUUUUCGACUUUAUUUAAAAGUCUGCGAACCAGAAAUUCUAGAUAAGGAAUUCUGUUAACCCGAAAGAAGGUGUUAGGCAUUCCCGGAUUCUAUGGCUCUAGCACGGUCACUUAGCAAUUUAUACUUGGCUUAAGUUGUUUAAUUACUUAUUUUAGAACCUAUGUUCAUUUACCUUUUACCGAAUUUAAUUGCUUAAUUAUUCGUAAUUAAAGAAUUGAGUCACGCGUACGUGUACUCAUUUCGUUUGGCGCAUCAAAUAUCAUGUCACGCGUACGUGUCCACAAUUAAUCACACUUUAUUAAUUAUUAAGAAAGUUUGGCCGAAGUUGCGCGGACACAUACCUCGAUUUAUUUUUAGAACGAAAUUCAUAAUUAUGUUACGCGAACGUAUACAUAAUCACGAUAAUAAAUUUAAAACGCGUCUAAAGUGUACUAAUCAUAGUCAUAAUUCUUUCUAAACUUUGAGAUUAUUGCGAUGCCAAAUUUAUGAACAAGAUAUUAAUGGGGUAAAUAGGCUAUCUAACGUGAUCUAUUACUUGGCCAGAUUCCUUAUGGUCCAAAACCCACCUUAUGGCCCAUUCUUAUUCCUUGCCAAGAAAGAAACAACUCCAAUUUUUCCAUCUACCUAAUUGAAAGCAUUUAUUCAAGAACCAAGACUACAUACAUCACAAUCGAAAUAAAAAAACUAAUUAAGACAAUUUAAAUGAAAACUAAUACAUAUUAGUCAAACAACGUAGAAUCACAAAUCAACCAACACGCACACCAAGCUAUCAUAACACAAUGAAAUGAGAGUGAAAAUUGAGAAAUAGACCUUUAUUGAUGGACAAAGCUGAAAAUUGCAAAUCAAUCGGGUUAAACAAAGCAACAAUCCUUGGACCGUAACACCGAAAUUAUAAACCAGAACCUCGGAUUGACACUAGCAUACCCGAAACCCAAAUCAAUCCCAAUCAAACGGUAAAUUAAAACCUUCGGUCAAAUCAGAUCCUUGAAAAAUGAUAAAGCUACAACGAAGAAGAGGACGAAGGGAAUCUUAAACUCAGCAAACGGACGAAAUCGACGACGGAGAAACUCGAACCAAUUCCAUUCUGCCUUUCCUCAUUUUCAAAUGGACGAACCAAAUGUCCAGCUUUAUUAUCAAUUGCCAAAACAGGAACCUUGAAUCAAGUUCAAGCUUUUCCCUUUUUGUACUUUUUUGUUACGGCUGGUUUGGAUUUUUCUCUUUUUUUUUGUCUAGGAAUCCUUCUUAGCUAGCUCUUAGCUCUUUGGGAAUGGGGAUGUCCGCCGUUUAUUUUUUUUGGGGUCUAGUUCCU